AGGCUUUGAUCCUGGCUCAGGAUGAACGCUAGCGGCAGGCCUAACACAUGCAAGUCGAGGGGUAGAGGAAGCUUGCUUCCUUGAGACCGGCGCACGGGUGCGUAACGCGUAUGCAAUCUACCUUGUACAGGGGAAUAGCCCAGAGAAAUUUGGAUUAAUGCCCCAUGGUAUAUAGUUUUCGCAUGAUUACUAUAUUAAAGAUUUAUCGGUACAAGAUGAGCAUGCGUCCCAUUAGUUAGUUGGUGUGGUAACGGCACACCAAGACGAUGAUGGGUAGGGGUCCUGAGAGGGAGAUCCCCCACACUGGUACUGAGACACGGACCAGACUCCUACGGGAGGCAGCAGUGAGGAAUAUUGGGCAAUGGGCGAGAGCCUGACCCAGCCAUGCCGCGUGCAGGAAGACGGUCCUAUGGAUUGUAAACUGCUUUUAUACGGGAAGAAACACUCCGACGCGUCGGAAGCUUGACGGUACCGUAGUAAUAAGGAUCGGCGUACAUCCG
rnacentral:rRNA from 1 species